UUUUAUUAUGCUUUUUAAAGUUCUAAUGCUUAUUAUUGUAAAAAAAAAAAAAACUGCUAACUGAAUCAUAGACUGGUUACUGUGUUGGGUGAUGGGAGCUUGUACAUAUGGAUGAUUCUGUAAUUGCAGGUACAUUUGGUGUCCAAAGUCAAACAAACUAUUAAUGUUGGAAACUUGAAAAACCUAAUAAAAUUGUGGAUUUUGUCUCCACGAAGGUCGUGUGACCUGCUAUGGCAGUUUUUCACACAACAGCAGUUUCCAGGCAUCGCGAAAACAAAAUCAACAGAACUCGACAGCAACAAACAACCAACCAUAGACUGUAAACAAACAACGGAAUCCUGCUAAGAUGGCGGCAGCGUAUAAGUUACGUCACAUUCUCAUUCUCUAUCAAAUCAAAGCGCGGGAGAACAGAUUUCAAAUGCGAAACGGACGGAGACUAAAGGGUAACGGCGAAGUGUUUCUAGAGAGAGUAUGACGACAGUUGACAGAUGUUGAUCCUUCACUUAGCUACGAACACAACGGAUUCACCUCAGAGAAAAGAAGUAGUGAUUUCAUUUCGCGUAUAUUUCACUAUUCAUCUUCCGUUAUAACUGAUGUGUUUUUCUGGACAAGUCCGAGUGAACUGCGAGUCACAUGAACGCACGCCGUCCAGACCAACGAACGGCAGAGCCCAUCAGAGGAACAUUUCCUUGGUUUGCUCACAUCAGGUCAGAGGAUGGAAUCUCCUGGAUCAAGGUUAAUAAUAAAAGGCAAGUCAUUAUUAAAUGUACAAAAUAUAUGUCUUAAAGCAUCUUAAUGUUAAUACAAUCUUUUAUUUUGUAAAGGAAAAUAAGAGGCAUUUUAAGCUAUUUAUUUAAGCUGCAGCAGUAAAUGGUAAAAGAGUUAUAGUCUCAUCUCCCGUCCUCAAGCCAUUUCUCUCUAAUUAAAACACCUGGUUCGUUCAGCUGUAACAUUCUGGGAGGGGGGCCUGAGGACUGGAGCUGAGAAACUACACUAACGGUUAUGAAAAAUGAACGCUGUGUAUCAUAGAAGUUGAUAUAUUGUGUUUUUUUUUUGUUUUUUUUUC